rnacentral:rRNA from 1 species
GACGAACGCUGGCGGCGUGCUUAACACAUGCAAGUCGAGCGGCGCGGCGAACGGGUGCGUCACGCGUGAGUAACUGCCCCCCUCUCUGGGGUAACAGUUGGAAACGGCUGCUAAUCCCGUAUAGUGGGGUAUGACUCGCGUCCUAUCAGUUUGUUGGUGGGGUAGUGGCCUACCACGGCGACGACGGGUAGCCGGCCUGCGAGGGGGAACGGCCACAUUGGGCUGAGGUACGGCCCAAACGCCUACGGGAGGCAGCAGGGGGGAAGAUUGCACAAGGGGGGAAACCCUGAUGCAGCAACGCGCGUGCGGGAUGACGGCCUUCGGGUGGUAAACCGCUUUCAGCCAUGACGCGGUAGUGGCAGAAGAAGCACCGGCUAACUACGUGCCAGCAGCCGCGGUAAUAC